CAGUCGCCGCGGUAAUACGUAUGUCACGAGCGUUAUCCGGAUUUAUUGGGCGUAAAGCGCGUCUAGGUGGUUAUAUAAGUCUGAUGUGAAAAUGCAGGGCUCAACUCUGUAUUGCGUUGGAAACUGUAUAACUAGAGUACUGGAGAGGUAAGCGGAACUACAAGUGUAGAGGUGAAAUUCGUAGAUAUUUGUAGGAAUGCCGAUGGGGAAGCCAGCUUACUGGACAGAUACUGACGCUGAAGCGCGAAAGCGUGGGUAGCAAACAGGAUUAGAUACCCGCGUAGUCCCUGUCUCUUAUACC
rnacentral:rRNA from 1 species